UAAAGCGUGCGCAGGCGGUAAUGUAAGACAGUUGUGAAAUCCCCGGGCUCAACCUGGGAACUGCAUCUGUGACUGCAUUGCUGGAGUACGGUAGAGGGGGAUGGAAUUCCGCGUGUAGCAGUGAAAUGCGUAGAUAUGCGGAGGAACACCGAUGGCGAAGGCAAUCCCCUGGACCUGUACUGACGCUCAUGCACGAAAGCGUGGGGAGCAAACAGGAUUAGAUACCCCGU
rnacentral:rRNA from 1 species